rnacentral:rRNA from 1 species
GAUGAACGCUGGCGGCGUGCCUAAUACAUGCAAGUAGAACGCUGAAGCUUGGUGCUUGCACCGAGCGGAUGAGUUGCGAACGGGUGAGUAACGCGUAGGUAACCUGCCUGGUAGCGGGGGAUAACUAUUGGAAACGAUAGCUAAUACCGCAUAACAGUCGACAUUGCAUGAUGUUGAUUUGAAAGGGGCAAUUGCUCCACUACCAGAUGGACCUGCGUUGUAUUAGCUAGUUGGUGAGGUAACGGCUCACCAAGGCGACGAUACAUAGCCGACCUGAGAGGGUGAUCGGCCACACUGGGACUGAGACACGGCCCAGACUCCUACGGGAGGCAGCAGUAGGGAAUCUUCGGCAAUGGACGGAAGUCUGACCGAGCAACGCCGCGUGAGUGAAGAAGGUUUUCGGAUCGUAAAGCUCUGUUGUAAGAGAAGAACGAGUGUGAGAGUGGAAAGUUCACACUGUGACGGUAACUUACCAGAAAGGGACGGCUAACUACGUGCCAGCAGCCGCGGUAAUACGUAGGUCCCGAGCGUUAUCCGGAUUUAUUGGGCGUAAAGCGAGCGCAGGCGGUUAGAUAAGUCUGAAGUUAAAGGCUGUGGCUUAACCAUAGUACGCUUUGGAAACUGUUUAACUUGAGUGCAGAAGGGGAGAGUGGAAUUCCAUGUGUAGCGGUGAAAUGCGUAGAUAUAUGGAGGAACACCGGUGGCGAAAGCGGCUCUCU